rnacentral:lncRNA from 1 species
GCAUGAAUGCUCCAAAACGGCCACGCUUUCCUGGUGUGAAUUUGUUGAUAUAUAACUGUAAUAGCAUAACCAAGUGUAAUGCGUUCCAAACAGCAGGAAUAAGCUUUUGAGGAUAAGGCCAGUCCGGAAUCGCCUCGAGCGAAUAAUAUACAUGUAUAUCAUUUUAGUAUAUCAACUGACGCCCAUACGAUGUUGUGCAGCAGAACCGGUACCUGCAUGUGUUGUAACAGCUGUGGACUC